GACGAACGCUGGCGGCGUGCUUAACACAUGCAAGUCGAACGGAAAGGCCCUGCUUUUGUGGGGUGCUCGAGUGGCGAACGGGUGAGUAACACGUGAGUAACCUGCCCUUGACUUUGGGAUAACUUCAGGAAACUGGGGCUAAUACCGGAUAGGAGCUCCUGCUGCAUGGUGGGGGUUGGAAAGUUUCGGCGGUUGGGGAUGGACUCGCGGCUUAUCAGCUUGUUGGUGGGGUAGUGGCUUACCAAGGCUUUGACGGGUAGCCGGCCUGAGAGGGUGACCGGGCACAAUGGGACUGAGAUACGGCCCAGACGCCUACGGGAGGCAGCAGUGGGGAAUAUUGCACAAUGGGCGGAAGCCUGAGGCAGCAACGCCGCGUGCGGGAUGACGGCCUUCGGGUUGUAAACCGCUUUCGCCUGUGACGAAGCGUGAGUGACGGUAAUGGGUAAAGAAGCACCGGCUAACUACGUG
rnacentral:rRNA from 1 species